CGGUUGAUCCUGCCGGAGGCCACUGCUAUUGGGAUCCGAUUAAGCCAUGCGAGUCGAGAGGGUUCGGCCCUCGGCAGACUGCUCAGUAACACGUGGAUAACCUAACCUUAGGUGGAAGAUAACCUCGGGAAACUGAGAAUAAUAUUCCAUAGAUCUAGGAUGCUGGAAUGCAUCUAGAUUGAAAGUUCCGACGCCUAAGGAUGGGUCUGCGGACUAUCAGGUUGUAGUCAGGGUAAAGACCUGACUAGCCUACGACGGAUAUGGGUUGUGAGAGCAAUAGCCCAGAGACGAUAUCUGAGACACGAUAUCGGGCCCUACGGGGCGCAGCAGGCGCGAAAUCUUCACAAUGUGCGAAAGCACGAUGAGGGGAUCCCAAGUGCUGGCACGUAAGUGUCAGCUGUUUCUUAGUCUAAAAAACUGAGAGAGUAAGGGCUGGGUAAGACGGGUGCCAGCCGCCGCGGUAAUACCUGCAGCUCAAGUGGUGGCCGCUAUUAUUGGGCCUAAAACGUCCGUAGCCUGUUUAGUAAAUGCUUGGGUAAAUUGUGUAGCUUAACUAUACGAAUACCGGGUAGACUGCUAAACUUGGGACCGGGAGAGGCUAGAGGUACUCCUGGGGUAGAGGUGAAAUUCUGUAAUCCUAGGGGGACCACCAGUGGCGAAGGCGUCUAGCUAGAACGGGUCUGACGGUGAGGGACGAAGCCCUGGGGCGCGAACCGGAUUAGAUACCCGGGUAGUCCAGGGUGUAAACGUUGCUUGCUUGAUGUUAGUCGGGCUCCGAGCCCGAUUAGUGUCGGAGAGAAGUUGUUAAGCAAGCUGCCUGGGAAGUANGGUCGCAAGACUGAAACUUAAAGGAAUUGGCGGGGGAGCAC
rnacentral:rRNA from 1 species